rnacentral:rRNA from 1 species
UGCUUAACACAUGCAAGUCGAACGGAAAGGCCCUGCUUUUGUGGGGUGCUCGAGUGGCGAACGGGUGAGUAACACGUGAGUAACCUGCCCUUGACUUUGGGAUAACUUCAGGAAACUGGGGCUAAUACCGGAUAGGAGCUCCUGCUGCAUGGUGGGGGUUGGAAAGUUUCGGCGGUUGGGGAUGGACUCGCGGCUUAUCAGCUUGUUGGUGGGGUAGUGGCUUACCAAGGCUUUGACGGGUAGCCGGCCUGAGAGGGUGACCGGCCACAUUGGGACUGAGAUACGGCCCAGACUCCUACGGGAGGCAGCAGUGGGGAAUAUUGCACAAUGGGCGGAAGCCUGAUGCAGCAACGCCGCGUGCGGGAUGACGGCCUUCGGGUUGUAAACCGCUUUCGCCUGUGACGAAGCGUGAGUGACGGUAAUGGGUAAAGAAGCACCGGCUAACUACGUGCCAGCAGCCGCGGUGAUACGUAGGGUGCGAGCGUUGUCCGGAUUUAUUGGGCGUAAAGGGCUCGUAGGUGGUUGAUCGCGUCGGAAGUGUAAUCUUGGGGCUUAACCCUGAGCGUGCUUUCGAUACGGGUUGACUUGAGGAAGGUAGGGGAGAAUGGAAUUCCUGGUGGAGCGGUGGAAUGCGCAGAUAUCAGGAGGAACACCAGUGGCGAAGGCGGUUCUCUGGGCCUUUCCUGACGCUGAGGAGCGAAAGCGUGGGGAGCGAACAGGCUUAGAUACCCUGGUAGUCCACGCUGUAAACGGUGGGUACUAGGUGUGGGGUCCAUUCCACGGGUUCCGUGCCGUAGCUAACGCUUUAAGUACCCCGCCUGGGGAGUACGGCCGCAAGGCUAAAACUCAAAGGAAUUGACGGGGCCCCGCACAAGCGGCGGAGCAUGCGGAUUAAUUCGAUGCAACGCGUAGAACCUUACCUGGGUUUGACAUGGAUCGGGAGUGCUCAGAGAUGGGUGUGCCUCUUUUGGGGUCGGUUCACAGGUGGUGCAUGGCUGUCGUCAGCUCGUGUCGUGAGAUGUUGGGUUAAGUCCCGCAACGAGCGCAACCCUUGUUCACUGUUGCCAGCACGUUAUGGUGGGGACUCAGUGGAGACCGCCGGGGUCAACUCGGAGGAAGGUGGGGAUGACGUCAAGUCAUCAUGCCCCUUAUGUCCAGGGCUUCACGCAUGCUACAAUGGCUGGUACAGAGAGUGGCGAGCCUGUGAGGGUGAGCGAAUCUCGGAAAGCCGGUCUCAGUUCGGAUUGGGGUCUGCAACUCGACCUCAUGAAGUCGGAGUCGCUAGUAAUCGCAGAUCAGCAACGCUGCGGUGAAUACGUUCCCGGGGCUUGUACACACCGCCCGUCAAGUCAUGAAAGUUGGUAACACCCGAAGCCGGUGGCCUAACCGUUGUGGGGGAGCCGUCGAAGGUGGGACUGGUGAUUAGGACUAGGUCAUAAC